AAUCUAGACUCGAUCCUAAUUGUAAUGCAACUACAUGAACACUCUUUUUUUGUGAAAUCAUUUUCUGAAAAUUUUCAAUUUUUUUUUUUGGUUUUUCUAUGCCUGAGAUGAAUGCAGACUCAAAAAUAUACCCAAUGCAACACAAACUUCCUGAGCCCUCCCCCAAACUUAAAUCACACAGUCCACUGUGUGAAUAAACUUGGAAGAAAGUACUCAGGACAAAUCCAAUCACAGAAACAAAAUGAAGAACAACUCACAAGAGAUGAUAUAAUACAAUGAUGAAGUGAGGCGCUUACCUCAGUCGAAGAAUGAACGAAGUUGUUUGUCAAUGGCUGCCUGUGAUUGCUCCCAGGCCAUAGACUAACCGCCUUGUUCCGUAUCAGCACCACCAGGAGGGUACUCGACCUCAUCAGCUCUGUGGCGGCAAGCACUGCCCUGAGGAUACUCGAACUCCCUUCAUUUGCUGUGGCCAGCACCGCGUUCGAGUGAUCUACGAGACUGCAGAAGUCGUCUGCUCCUGCUGCUAGAUUGAGUGAGUGUGGUCCUCCUCUUCCUUCCAGAUUCACGAGGCUCGAAUGAUGAAUGCCUCGCAGGGACAUGCGGAAUCUCCUGCUCUCUAGGCUUAGGCCUGCGCCGACUUGGCUCGGGCGCGUCAUAUCUCCUCGAAGGCAUGUCCUGAGGGAGCUGUCCCUGCGGAAUAGCUGUAGUGGAGGAGGAACAACUCAGCUUAUCUGUCAGAAACUUGAUAGUCUUGAAACACUUGGCGAGCAGCUUGUCCUGCUUUUUGCACCACUUCUGCAGUUUACUAUUGUUCCUAUGAGCUUCACUCAAGCUCUUGCUUUCCCUCGAUGGAGGUAUAUGCUCGCUGAAAUGAUACAUGCUCGUGUCAAACUCCGCCUCAUCUAUAUCAUCUGUCUCAUCAACAUCUUCUAUUGUAGCUCCUUCGGUGUGACUAACCUCCUCAGUUGGCGGACUGCCCUCGAAAUAAAGAUCUUCAAGCGCAAGCUUGAAGUCAAUGUUCCUUCCCUCGAGAAUCCCAGUAGCGUCAAUGCAGGGGAGAAGAAUGUUGGCGAUUCUAAACGAUGAAUGCUCGAACCAUGUCAAACUCCAAGAAUUCACAUCGGCGCAAAUGAUCCAAGUCCAUCAUCCUCGGUGCUAACCCUGGUUCCUUGAGCGGUACUCCUCUCUAUCAAAUCUGGGUUUGGUUCUCUUUCCACUAGGGAAACCAAACAGUUCUUCCAACUUCUUGAUCGAAAGCUGAUACCGCUGUUCAUCCACUGCGAACGCCAAGAACCCUAACCCCAUGGUAUCCAGCUCAAAGUCUGUGAGUCCCUCAUACAUCUCCACUUGCAGCGUGGAAAGAAACUCGAUUGUCUCCUCCUUAUAGACAGCGUAAGGGUAAGACAUGAGUGUCUCCAGAUGACACUUCUCGAACAGAUGCUGCACGUCCUCCAGUAACCCGAGCUGGGCUAAAGUCUCAUAAUAAAGAUACCUCGUUCCCUAGAAGUCAUUCAUCUCAAAGAAUCUGAUAUACUCCUCCACUGUAACCUCAUCGGGUUUGUUCAACAGCCUCGUUUCCUUGCGCCAUGACUCUGGCUCAUACUCAGUUUCGAUAUCCUUAUCAGUCAGCUCAUAUCUACUCGACAUCGCCCUCUUUUCUCUGGCGAUUUCAGCUCUUCUCUGAUUACGUCGAGCUGCGGAGCGUUCAAAUUCAUCCCUAAAGCUCUCGUAAACAUGUUGCUCCCUCGGUCUAGCGGAACAGGACUCAGCUUCAUCCACAUUAUAAUCAGGGUCCAUAGAAGAUUCUCCACUGUAGUUACUCAUGAUGAAACCUGAAAACAGAUGAAACUCAAAGAUAAACGUUAAUGCGUUAGUAACAGCAAAACCAAAAGCACAACCAAAACCACUGUACCGGUCGAGUGUUGAAUGUGUAGAAGGAAACAAGGUCGAGUGGCGUUGAUGGAGCUUCACUCCUCUUCUCUUUGACUCGGCAAUCGAGUGAGAUUUUAAAUGGCGAUGGUGGAGCGAGACGCACGGUGGUCGAGUAUGGUAGGUGAUGAAGAUGGUGAAGAGAGAUCGAGUGAUUGUGAGAGGCGAGGGAGACGAGGUCAAGUGAGUGAAAUGGAGAGCUGGAGUUGUUCCUUUGGAGAGAGUGAGCAGGCGGUGACGAUGGAGAGGCGGUGAGAAGCGGCGAGGUCGAGUGUUAUCUUUGGAGAUAGAGUGGGUAAGGUUAAGAUGGAGUGGCGACGAAGAAGAUGGUUAUGAGGAGUCGAGUGAAGUUGUUGUGGUCGAGUAUAAGAAGAAGAUGGCGAGGAGCUCGAGUGUUUGAGAGUGAUGAGAGAUGAGUGGUCGAGUUUAUAUGUGUGGGGAGUAAUGGGAAUUUCUUGGUUGCAUGUGAAGUGUUGGUGAGAGGGAUGGGGUCAAGUUUAUUGGGUUAUGGAGGAGAAAACGAGAUCGAGUGAUGGAGGAGAAGUCGAGUGAAGAUGGGGUUGCGUGGAGAUCGUGUGGAUGUGAAGAGAUUCCAUGUCUCUUGGUCUGCUGCAUGGAGGACAUGGGCGUCAGUGGUGGGUUCCACUGUGUCUUCUUGUCUUUCUUCUGUGCUCUCUGUUUACUGUACAAACCCGAGGAAAUCUCGCAAUCUUCUGUAAACUUGAUAAACUCUCUAUAAGACUCUGUAGCUUCUAUUGGUCGUGUAAAAUGAUGAUUUA
rnacentral:sRNA from 1 species